CAAGCCCUGGAAACGGGGUCUAAUACCGGAUAUGACAUCCUCCCGCAUGGGAAGGGUGUGGRAAGCUCCGGCGGUGCAGGAUGAGCCCGCGGCCUAUCAGCUUGUUGGUGGGGUGAUGGCCUACCAAGGCGACGACGGGUAGCCGGCCUGAGAGGGCGACCGGCCACACUGGGACUGAGACACGGCCCAGACUCCUACGGGAGGCAGCAGUGGGGAAUAUUGCACAAUGGGCGAAAGCCUGAUGCAGCGACGCCGCGUGAGGGAUGACGGCCUUCGGGUUGUAAACCUCUUUCAGCAGGGAAGAAGCGAAAGUGACGGUACCUGCAGAAGGAGCACCGGCUAACUACGUGCCAGCAGCCGCGGUAAUACGUAGGGUGCGAGCGUUGUCCGGAAUUAUUGGGCGUAAAGAGCUCGUAGGCGGCCUGUCACGUCGGAUGUGAAAGCCCGGGGCUUAACCCCGGGUCUGCAUUCGAUACGGGCAGGCUAGAGUUCGGUAGGGGAGAUCGGAAUUCCUGGU
rnacentral:rRNA from 1 species